GUGGGCCCUCGAAAUCCUGUGGCGGGAGGAUUCAGUCGGAAGGCAGGAGCGUGUGCGCCGGUGAGUGUUGGUUCUGAUAGGGGACCUGAUCGGUGGCACGUUCUCUUGCUGAUACGACGCAUUUCUUUCCCGUCCGAAGGACGCCGCAACCGGUUGGGAAACGACCUGAAGGCCGGCGAAGGUAGGUGGCCGGCGUCUGUCCUUGUGGCCGGCGUCGGUGACUUAGCCUGUUCGGCAGUGGUUCGUGUCCCGACCGCUGUGUUUGGAAACCCACCAUGGGUUUCACCGCCUCCUCCUUUGCGGGAUGCCGGACUUGACGUGGCAGUUGUUCUCCGUACUGCGGGCGCACAGGCUGACCCUGUGGCCGCGCGGUCGAGAGGACUCGAUAUGGCUGCGCGUGAUCCGUUGGAGUGCCGGUGGUUAGCGACGAGUAGAUCGGUCACCCACCUGACCCGUCUUGAAACACGGACCAAGGAGUCUAACAUGUGUGCGAGUCAAUGGGGCUCGAAAAAGCCUAGAGGCGCAAUGAAAGCAAAGGUCGGACUUGACGCCGACUGGGUUGGGAUCCUUCCGCCUUGCGCGGGAGGCGCACCAACGACCCGUCCUUUCCGACUUGUCGGUUGGGCGGAGUCUGAGCAUACACGUUGGGACCCGAAAGAUGGUGAACUAUGCCCAGGCAGAACGAAGCCAGAGGAAACUCUGAUGGAGGUUCGCAGCGGUUCUGACGUGCAAAUCGAUCGUCAGACCCAGGUAU
rnacentral:rRNA from 1 species